rnacentral:lncRNA from 10 species
AGUAAGCGCUGAAGUAAAUACUUUUAUAAUGGAAAAUCCUCCACAACAUAAUAUACUAUAAACUUCAAAAAAGGCAGAAAAUAGCAUGACAUUUUUAUUGGUUAAUGCCAGCAUACCUCAUAUAUCUCUAUUGUUCAUAUUUUUAAAGGAAUACUUAUUUGAUCACGCUUACACUUGAUGGCAAUUUUGUAAUAUAAUUUUCUACAGAGAGAAUAGGUAAAUCUUUUUAUUACUGUGGUUGAUUUUUUUAACUUAAUAAUUCAGAAAAACUGUACAAUGUAGUAUUGGCAAAAUCUUCUAAAUUUUCAGAGGUUUCGUCAAGCUUUGCAUACUCUCUGUUAAGGAGAGGACUUUAAUUUUAAAUAGGACAUCAAAAUGAACUAACUUCUGCUUGGUGUUUUCUAAAUCUGAUGAUUGAAACAAUUUUCCAUUGGCUAACUUCUGUUUUCAUGCAUUUAUAGCAUUUUUCCUUAAUCAUUCACAUGUCUGUGGUACCAGGUGUUUAAGACAAGUUCAAAGAACAAUAGGACUUCAUCUGCUUCACAUUCAUGACCUAACACCAGGUGACUGAGAAGUAGGAGUAUUUCUGGGAGCCAUGUCUAUCCUGAGUCAUCUGGCAUUCAUAGCAUUUUCUUUUCCUUUUGCAUGUUGCACUGUAGAUGGCCUUGUUACAGUGCACGGGCAUUCUGGUGAAUGACUUUGAUUACUCUGGGACGAGGUCCUGUUGCUGUGAAAAUCAGGUAGAGUCUUGCUGUGUUGUCCAGGCUGGAGUGAAGUGACAUGACCAAGCUCAUUGCAACCUCUAUCUCUGAGGCUCAAGCAAUCCUCCCACCUCAGCUUCUUAAGUUGCUGGAGACUACAGGCAUGCACCACCACGCCUAGUUAUUUUUUUUUUUAUUAAUUUUUUUAAACGGCUGGUCUUGAAGUCCUGAGCUCAAGCAAUCCUCCUGCCUCGCCCUCCAAAAGUGCUGAGGUUACAUGUUUGAGCCACCGUUCCUGGUCUGGGAAGUUAUUUUUAAAGUGUGAUUUGAUUUUUAUUAUCCCCUUGGAAAAUGUGAGAUAAUAUUUGCUUGCUUUCUUGUCCUUGUGUUCAAUUUCUUUGUUUUAUUCAAUUUACUUUAGCUAUAUUUUGUUUUAAAAUAUCAAAAUAUAUAAUUAUGUAUAAUCUUUUGUGAAUUGUAUCUUAAUUAUUGUUGCAUAUAAAGAGUUGUUCUAAAUUAUAAUGUUUAAUAAAUUAAAGCAACUCUCUUUGAAAAA